rnacentral:misc_RNA from 1 species
GAUGAAGAACGUAGCGAAAUGCGAUAAGUAGUGUGAAUUGCAGAAUUCAGUGAAUCAUCGAAUCUUUGAACGCACAUUGCGCCCCUCGGUAUUCCGUGGGGCAUGCCUGUUCGAGCGUCAUUUAACCCCUCAAGCCUAGCUUGGUAUUGGGUGCUUGUCCCGCCUCUCGCGCGGCGACUCACCUCAAAGUCAUUGGCAGCCCGCAUCUCGCCGGCCAUGAGCGCAGCACAGACGCGCUCUUGGCAACGACGGAUCGGCUCUCCAAAAGCUUAUUUCAACCACUGACCUCGGAUCAGGUAGGGAUACCCGCUGAACUUAAGCAUAUCAAUAAGCGGAGGA